rnacentral:rRNA from 1 species
CCUACGGGUGGCUGCAGUGAGGAAUAUUGGUCAAUGGGAGAGAUCCUGAACCAGCCAAGCCGCGUGAGGGAAGACGGCCCUAUGGGUUGUAAACUGCUUUUAUACGGGAAUAACGCGCCUUACGUGUAGGGCUUUGCAUGUACCGUAUGAAUAAGGACCGGCUAAUUCCGUGCCAGCAGCCGCGGUAAUACGGAAGGUCCGGGCGUUAUCCGGAUUUAUUGGGUUUAAAGGGAGCGUAGGCCGCAUGUCAAGCGUGCUGUGAAAUGUCCGGGCUCAACCCGGGCCUUGCAGCGCGAACUGGCGUGCUUGAGUCCGCGGAAAGCAGGCGGAAUUCGUCGUGUAGCGGUGAAAUGCUUAGAUAUGACGAAGAACCCCGAUUGCGAAGGCAGCUUGCUGCAGCGGAACUGACGCUGAUGCUCGAAAGCGCGGGUAUCGAACAGGAUUAGAUACCCGUGUAGUC